GCGGGCGUAAUUCAGCAGCUAGAAUGCCACCUUGCCAAGGUGGAAGUCGAGGGUGCGAAUCCCUUCGCCCGCUCCA
rnacentral:tRNA from 1 species